GAUAAGCAGAGGGGGUGACUACAAAAGGGCCUUGAUACAUAUUAUUUCCAACAAAACGAAAUUAUAGUAAUUCAUAUGCUUCUUCUCUUUCUUCCUUUCCUUCUUUGUUUCUCCAUCUUUUCACCAUUGCCAAUUAUCCUUCCCUUUCUUUAUAUCUAAUACUAUUAUUAGUCUAUUUCGUAACAAUAAUUAUUAUCCUUAGAAUUGUCUCUCAUAUCUGAUCCAUUUUCUCUAUUUGCCUAAACCCAAAUACCAUCCAUCUGCAUCCGAUCCACCUUCAUCAUCUAAAACCAAAACUCAUCACUUCCUUCUCCUUUUCUCUGGUUUUCUUCUUCAUUCACUCAUAUGAUAUCCUGAGACCUUCUUCACAUCAAACCAAUCUUCUUUUCAUUUGAAUAUUAUUCCUGUUUGUGUGUAAGUGAAACCAAGGAUCAACCUUUUUUUUUUUGGGAAUUUAGCUUUUGUUAUCAGAAAAUUGAGGAUUUGCUAAAGCUACGGCCUUGCCUGGCAGGAUUCAUACAGGUAUAACGAGCUGCUGCUUCUGCUGAAGGGGAAAGAGAGAACUGU